UACGUAGGGUGCAAGCGUUAAUCGGAAUACUGGGCGUAAAGCGUGCGCAGGCGGUUUUGUAAGUCUGUCGUGAAAUCCCCGGGCUCAACCUGGGAAUUGCGAUGGAGACUGCAAGGCUAGAAUCUGGCAGAGGGGGGUAGAAUUCCACGUGUAGCAGUGAAAUGCGUAGAGAUGUGGAGGAACACCGAUGGCGAAGGCAGCCCCCUGGGUCAAGAUUGACGCUCAUGCACGAAAGCGUGGGGAGC
rnacentral:rRNA from 1 species